UAGGUACUCCCUCCGUUCGGAAUUACUCGUCCAAGAAAUGAAUGUAUCUAGAUGUAUUUUAGUUGUAGAUACAUCCAUUUUUGUGACAAGUAAUUCCAAACGGAGGGAGUACAUU
rnacentral:pre_miRNA from 1 species